rnacentral:sRNA from 1 species
GCGGCCGCAGUGGAGGCUAGAGCCGGAGCGGCGGCGGCGGCGGCACCCCGGGGAGUUUAAGAUGGCGGCGGGGGGGACAGGGGGCCUGCGGGAGGAGCAGCGCUAUGGGCUGUCGUGCGGACGGCUGGGGCAGGACAACAUCACCGUACUGCAUGUGAAGCUCACCGAGACGGCGAUCCGGGCGCUCGAGACUUACCAGAGCCACAAGAAUUUAAUUCCUUUUCGACCUUCAAUUCAGUUCCAAGGACUCCACGGGGUGAGUACUCUUAUUGAUUUAACAAACAAAUCUAAUGUUCUUGCACGCUAUUCAACUUUUAAAAUCCAUUUUCAGUUGACCCUU